UGUUGAGUAUAAUUAUAUAUACUUGAUUCGAGUAUAGGGAGGGAAAAUGUAUUGUUAUUAUAAAUAAUGUGUUUAUGUAUUCUCUCCAACUGUUAUAGAUAGAAUUUUUUGCUUCGUUUAUUAUAUUUAAAAAUAAACUUAGUUAAAAAUGUGAAUUAACUAUGAUUCGAAUUUGAAAGCUCGGGUACAAACCAUCAAGUUCUUUGCCAUUUGUGUUGAGGACAGUGAGUGUUAUAGUUAGAAUUAUUGAUAAUUUAGAUGUAGUUUCAACUGCAGCAAUGAUCCUCAUCAUGCAAUUCUAACAACAGUAAAUAUAUUUAAAUGUAUUAAAUUAAAUACUGAAUUUAAAUUUGCAUGUCAAUACACCAUUAUUACAGUUGUAACAAUAUACAACCAAAUAAGUGGAUUC
rnacentral:lncRNA from 1 species